rnacentral:rRNA from 1 species
UACGUAGGGUGCAAGCGUUGUCCGGAAUUACUGGGCGUAAAGGGCUCGUAGGUGGCCAACUAAGUCAGACGUGAAAUCCCUCGGCUUAACCGGGGAACUGCGUCUGAUACUGGAUGGCUUGAGUAUGGGAGAGGAAUGCGGAAUUCCAGGUGUAGCGGUGAAAUGCGUAGAUAUCUGGAGGAACACCGGUGGCGAAGGCGGCAUUCUGGACCAUUACUGACGCUGAGGAGCGAAAGCCAGGGGAGCAAACGGG